rnacentral:rRNA from 1 species
AUGCACGCAAACACCACUCCUGGUCCGGAUAGGUUCCCGAUCUCGUUCUACAAAUUUUUUUGGCCAAUUUCGGGCCCCCAAUUUACUACCCUGGUCAACAGAUUCACCCGUGGGGAGGUCGGCGUAAAGAGACUGAACUAUGGGGUCCUUACCCUUCUGUCUAAGGUCACCAGGGCUAACAGUAUUAGGCAAUUCCUCCCAGUCACCUUGAUAAAUGUUAGAUUCUGCCUCCUUGCGAAGGGUUUCACAACCAGGCUGGCUCCGGUCGCAAAUAAGGUCAUUGACCAAUCUCAAACAGCCUUUAUUAGUGCGCGUAGCAUUUUGGAUGGGAUUGUGACCCUGCGUGAAGUUUUACAUGAGAUUAGAGUGGCCAAGGAGGAGGUGUUCAUCCUCAAGAUUGACUUUGAGAAGGCUUACGACCGGGACCAGUGGGAUUCUCUAUAG